rnacentral:rRNA from 1 species
AGGGCAGCGCGCUGGAAGAGAACAGGAGGGCGUAGGGUCGGGGGUGGAGCGGCGGCGGCGGUUGUGGCCCGCUCAGGCCGCUCAAGACCGCCGGGAGCGGCCUCGCGUUGUGUGGGUGCUCGAGGGGAGCACCACCACGAAGGAAGGGAGGCAGGUCUAGGCGAGGAGUGCCGGCGUUUGCGAGCGAGUGCGGUGGGGAGGGGCGCCGAUCCCAAAGCCGACGGAGGUUGAGGCCGCGCUGUGGGAGGAGGUACCUGCUCCUGUUGGUGGUGCCGGGUGUGUACCAGCUCGAGCGGCAGCAGACGAGACCACGCCACGACCCGGUUGCUAGAGGUGGAGGUGCCGACGAUCGAGUCCGUUGUCGUUCGGUAGAGUUCCCUCCCCUAAGAGUUCAGUGGGGUGCAGGUUAGGUACCUGCGGCAGGUGUCUCCCUGUACCCUCAUUCGAGCUCGGUGUCGGCUCAAGUCUGAGAAGGAGAGUGAACCACGAGGUAUCCUCCUCGUACCAGACGACACGGAGAGGGUGGAGGAGUCGCGAGUCAUUCUACCGGUCACGGCGAAUCAUGGUCCCACAACUAGUGUGUUAUGUCCCAAUGGUAAAAUUUAACCAGACCUUUACCUCGACUUGGAUAGUUUUCCGAAGACCACAUAACAACAAAGUCUCUAAAGUUCUGCUGCUCCUCCGACGUUCUUUUCCGCCCGACGCUUUCUUCCGAAUGUAAGUCGUCGAAUUCUCACCAUUCGACUUCGAACGAGUUGAUCUUGUCCUAGAGGUCUCCCGAGCAAGAGUCCCUGAGAAACAACCUCCUCGAGGUCCACCUUUGAGGUCGGGACCACGACGAACAACCUACAGCUCAUGUCGUCCACCGACCUACUGCUGUCGUCCGCGUACUGAGGCCCCUCCGGACGUGCGCGUGAACGGCCUACCACUGGAGUCCCGGUAGUAGCUGCUGUGGAACUGGGUGAUGCUACUCGAUAAAGCGGAGUUCUCACGGCGACGAUCCCGCCUACGGAAGGUAGAGUAGUGACCCUACACCCGUUGGGGCCGGCUCGUGACCAUGGAAACCUACCCGCCGAAAGCCGGGAGACUACACGAGUUCUGUGACCGUGGAGUCGAACUAGGGAACUGACUUGUCGUUUACCAACCGUAGACGUCGGAACCCGUCAGUAACAUCGUCCGUCUUCUUCUAGAGUGGGUCCCGGACCUCGUAGAGGUAGUCAGUAAUCGCCAGUACCACCGUCCGUCGCCCAGAGAAUCGCUGCUAUGGUUGUACCCCUCGAAGUACCCACUGUACCGGCAACGAGACGUAAUCUCUCAUAUUAAAGAGAAUGAGACGGAAGUGGAGAGAGACCCGGUCCACUCUUAUCUCCUUGUAGUCGGUAUCCUACUUUGGCUACGCCCUUGAAAACACGGAACGACUUAGUUCCAUGAUGAAGUUAAGACGUGAGUAGUAAAAAUUUAACAACAGUGAACUCGCUCAGUCACGGAACGAUCCAACUCUCAAGUCUCGAAACACACGGGUAUAAAUUUGGACUUUUUUACAACGGAUAAAGUCAGCUCCAUGUAUUUAAAUCUGUGCUGUGCAAGCAACAGUUUGUUUUUUAUAUACGUAUUGCUAGUACUCUUUGUUGUCGUUAAAAGAACACCACAUGAGUGUUAGCUUACAAAACACAUAUGGGAACCAGUCAUACGAUCACGCUUCAACAGACUCAGUAGUAUUCGAACUAAAAGGCAGCUCCGUUUUAAUUCGUAUUAUUUGAAAGCUGUUCCCUAGACACUGCUGAUGAAAGAAGCAAACAAAAACAACUUCAAAACGGUAUACAUAGGACGUUAGAAAAUCUUUUAACUUUACCGGUGAGUUUAAAGUUAAAACCCUUUAAGCCAGAAGAUUUACUACAGGAUAAAACUAUUACAAAAACGGUACAAAAAUGUCCUAUUGACACAAUUUUAAACGAGACAGAUAUCAUAUAUGGGUUAAAAUAAGUUCAAACUGGUACAAUAGAUAUUUUAGGAUAGAUGCUUGUACCGAAACAAGACUUUCAAAAUCAUUAUCAGGUACAGUUUAAAUUAUCUUUUACAAGAGUUUUGGUACUGUUAAAAACAUUUCACUGUAACUUUUAAAGACUUUGAAUUAAAUACGUAGAACUCGUAAUGAUAAAACAUACACAAAAGCGAGAUAUAUACGCUUAGGGACCAAUAUAGAGUAAAAAAUACCAUAGCUACUACCGAGACCGACCCGCGAAGACUGCCACACCGCCAGCGGUUCCCUUGUUUACCAACACCUACGAUAACUCGCCACCGUGGGAGGACUUCCUCCUCCGUACUCCACCGUACCUUUUCGUCUGAACAGUCCGCACCACAGACGGGCUACACACACAGCAUGUAUUACCCACUGCGGUGGGUUGUGCAGGUCGACGAGCAGUCUCUGCUGCGGAGUGUAGAGUAUGCAGAAGUAGGAGGGUGGGAUUCAGGAGAAGUAUACGAAGUCAUGAAUGGGUGUUCGCGAGAAACAGUAUGUUUCUCAUCGGACGCAAAUAACAUCACGUAAAAGACACUACGUGUACUCACUCUAAUUAAUGCAUCAACAAGUACGAUACAUCAAUCAGACUACACUACGAUUAAACUCGUAGGGAAACAAUACAAAAUACCAAUGUUUCGGGAAUAGUUACGAGGUUUAGUUACAUCAAAAACAAGUGUACAACCAUGUCCCGGUAAAGUGUACUCCUACGGUUAAAAUUCAGACAUCUAGUAUAGAAAAUGUAAGGAGAAGCUAAAAACUGAACCUAAAGAUGAAUGACAACUGGACCAUCUGUAACUCAUCUUGUACCGUUAAUAAACAAACUAAAAGAAACUUGUACCGUUUAACUAAUUUUGUACAUCUUAUGUUGUACCGUUUUACAACUUGUAAUCAUCUAAAAACUAUGAUGAAAUGUGCUUUACAAAACGAAUGACCUUUACAAUAGAUAUUGAACUGUGUAAAACAAGUUUGUACAAACCAUAAAAUCAAAAAUGCCGUUUAAAUUCUUGUUAACCGCCAACGCAACGGCGCGAGGAACCGUAGCUCUUCUACAGCGGGGCUCAGUAAAGACAUGGUGGAGGUCCAUAUGGCCUACGAAGAUGACAAGAGGGAUGGGGAAGGAGGCACCAGUUAACAAGUGAUCCAACAGGGUACCCUCUUAACUAUGGUAAUGAAGCAAGUUAAUACACACGUUACUAUCAUACUAAACAAAAUGUUUUCUUGUAAACAGAAGAUUCUCGUAUCGGAUGGCUGUCCGACUUCGUUUCCGAUUAAGGCAACAAGUAAAGUAGGAAGGAUAAAUAACCCAUGGAGACGAAAAUCUUUGUUUGGUUUGGGUGAUAUAUAUAAACAAGACAAGGUUCUUUUACGUAUUCUCCUUAAAUUACCAAGAAUAUAAACGUUUUGAAUUACCAAAGUAAAUCAAAACCAGAAGUUUAACCGUCAUCCACGAACCUUUAACCUUAGCUCAGGCUCCUGUUCAUAGUUCAUAACAGUGUGUUACGCUUCAAAUCAAAAAAUUUGUCACGCUUAUAUACUAAGUAAAAAAGGGAAAACUGCCCAGUUUAUGUAUGGGUUGAAAUACAUUUAUCUGGCAACCACAGAAUAUCUAUAUGAUAUGGAAGUAACGUCCACACUGACUAAUUGUCUGUUUUAGCACCGGUAACAAGUCCACCACUAAUACGGAAAGGAGAAAACAUUGUUCUACUAAUACAUAGUUACACUGAGACUCUGAAAUGAUAUGGGUAAGACAUAUAUCUUGUAAGAGAAUCCUCUAACAAAAUAAACAAGACCAACUGCAUAUGAUUUCCAACACAUGGAUAUUUUUAUUUUCUGUGAAGGUUCAAAACAUACAUCAUGAACUACAUACAGAGUUCACGUCGAAUAUUACGAGGAUGAGAAUCAUGAACGAGAGCGUACAAAUACGAGAAUCAUGACUCAAAUCACAAUUCACUAAUCGAAAACACCAGAGUACUUUUGAACUACACCGGAAUAUUAGGGU